UACUUCACAUCCUUUGGAGAACAGAAAGACCGAAGCUUAGGGAGUGCAGAGAUUUGCCUGGAGUCCUAGGGUUUCUGGGAACAGAAAAGCUUUACAGAUCUCCCGCUGGCUUCUGGUUCUCAGAACCAAAAGUGUUGCAGCCAGAAGGAGCUCAGAGCUCAGGAGUUCGGACUGGCUCUGCAUGAACUAAAAUCCCGGUUUCUAGACUCUGGUCACCAAUCAGUUGAUAUUAAAAGUCAAGCACCCUUGGGGACGGGGCUGGCUCUAGACCUCAGAGAACACAGGAUAACCUGACCACCGGAGUUCCAACUUGCUAAACAUGUCUGUUCUCAAAGUGAUAUACUCCAGCAUGGGAGUAAGGAAUACAGAUUCCAGGAGGCUUGUUAGAUCUAUAGACACAGAUCUCGGCUGGGGAUUGAAUUGAAUCUCAAACAGACUCUCCCUUAAUUUUUAGGCCAUAUAUUCCAGAAGACUGGAAAACGUUUCUCUAACAAGAAAACUGAGGUCUUGGAAGGGCCCUGGCCCGAGCCAGGAACAGUUAGUUGUCCCUACCCCCUCAACCCUUGCUCGCUCUGUUUGGUGACUGUGGUGGGGUUGCCAGGGGAACCAGGCUGUACAACUUCCUGGCUUUGGCGUUUUUCCCCCUCCUUGGCCUUAUCUCAGCAUCCGCCACCCAGUCCAGGGUUGUGUGGUCACGUAGGAGGGGAAGCUGGUGCCAGGCCUGUGGAGGACAGCAAGGGAACAGCCGCCCAAGUAUUGGAUGGGCAGGAGGGUGGUGCUGUGACCGUCAAGAGGUCUAGGAGGGUGCGCAGGGGCCCACCCUCAUGAACAUCUUUCUCUAUGGCUUGGGAGGUUCCUGGAAAAUGAGACUGUGGAGAAUUGUGACUAACCUGGGGCUCUCUCUGCCCUAACUCUCAUCUCUCAGUUCUUCCACAGCUGGAUCCCAGCAUCACCUGUGUGUAUCUAUGCUCCUCUCCAGACCUACAGUCUCCAGCCCCAAGCCUCUCCACUGGUCCCUACCCCCACACCGCAACCGCGCCCUUCAGCUCGUUCUGCCUGGUUCAAGAUUCCUUUCUGUGUUUUGGGCUUUCCUCUCUCCCUGCUGCAGCUCAGACUCUUGGGCAGUCAAGAGGAACAAGAAGGAGAAAAGGGGGCUUUGAAGACAGAUGGAAGACAGCUAGCAGCUUAAGUAAAGGAGCACAGCAUGGGAGAGCUUCCUUCUGGCCCUCCAAGAUGGGAUGUUUGGCUAGGAACCAGACUCAGAAGAAAUAGCUUUACUGAGGAUCAAAUGGAUACCCCUAAAAUGGAAGCAGAAGCUACGGAAGGCCUAGGAGAAGGAGGAGCGGUAGGAUUUCAGAGCAUCCUUCAGUGAUCAAUCUUACCUGUCCUUGGAAUUGAUGUCGCUCCGUAAUUAGCUUGUCGCCGUUCUGCUCUUGCUUUGCCAAUAUGGGCUUCAUGCAUUCUCCACCAAGGUCAACACUUGAUGUUAAAUCGACAAGGAAUUUAUUGGUCUCCCAGAUGUUUGGGCCACUCUGUUCUCCUUGAGUAUGGAGAGAUGGAUCCGUGGUUAAGCGCAUUCGCCGCUCUUCCAGAGGACCCAGGUUCAAUUUACAGCUCCCGCAAGGCAGAUCAUAACCAGCUGCAAUUCCAGUUUCAGGGGAACCCAGUGCCACCUUCUGGCCAACAGAGGUACUGCGGGCACAUGGUGCACAAACAUUCAGUCUUUAUCCUCAUCCACAUAAAAAUAAAUACAUAAGAAAAAUGUUUGAAAAUGUAUCAAAUGUCUGCCUCUUCAUCCCCAGAACUUGUGAAUACUGUCCUUACAGGGCAAAAGAGGUUUUAGAGGUAUGAUUAACUUGGGGAGCCUGAGGUGGGAGAUGAUUGUGACUGAUCAGGGUGGGUGUGGUCCAUGGGCUUUGUGGCUAGUGGAAGGGGUCAUGAGCAGAGGAAAAGGCACAGCCUUCGAAGCCACAGAAACUCUAGGAAGAAUGCAGUUUUGUUAAUGCUUCAAAUUUAGCUCCAUAAAACACAUUGGACUUCAAAACUUUAAUAAAUUUGUGUUUAUUUAAGCUA